rnacentral:rRNA from 1 species
AGGAUGAACGCUGGCGGCGUGCUUAACACAUGCAAGUCGAACGAUGAAGGCUGGAGCUUGCUCUGGCUGGAUUAGUGGCGAACGGGUGAGUAACACGUGAGUAACCUGCCCCAGACUCUGGGAUAAGCGCUGGAAACGGCGUCUAAUACCGGAUACGAGCUUCCACCGCAUGGUGAGGAGCUGGAAAGAAUUUCGGUCUGGGAUGGACUCGCGGCCUAUCAGCUUGUUGGUGAGGUAAUGGCUCACCAAGGCGACGACGGGUAGCCGGCCUGAGAGGGUGACCGGCCACACUGGGACUGAGACACGGCCCAGACUCCUACGGGAGGCAGCAGUGGGGAAUAUUGCACAAUGGGCGCAAGCCUGAUGCAGCAACGCCGCGUGGAGGGACGAAGGCCUUCGGGUUACG